rnacentral:rRNA from 1 species
UACGAAGGGGGCUAGCGUUGUUCGGAAUUACUGGGCGUAAAGCGCACGUAGGCGGCUUGGUAUGUCGGGUGUGAAAUCCCCGGGCUCAACCUGGGAACUGCAUCCGAAACUGCCUUGCUCGAGUAUGGGAGAGGGAAGUGGAAUUUCCGGUGUAGCGGUGAAAUGCGUAGAUAUCGGAAGGAACAUCAGUGGCGAAGGCGACUUCCUGGACCAAUACUGACGCUCAGGUGCGAAAGCGUGGGGAGCAAACAGG